GACGAACGCUGGCGGCGUGCUUAACACAUGCAAGUCGAACGGAAAGGCCCUGCUUUUGUGGGGUGCUCGAGUGGCGAACGGGUGAGUAACACGUGAGUAACCUGCCCUUGACUUUGGGAUAACUUCAGGAAACUGGGGCAAAUACCGGAUAGGAGCUCCUGCUGCAUGGUGGGGGUUGGAAAGUUUCGGCGGUUGGGGAUGGACUCGCGGCUUAUCAGCUUGUUGGUGGGGUAGUGGCUUACCAAGGCUUUGACGGAUAGCCGGCCUGAGAGGGUGACCGGCCACAUUGGGACUGAGAUACGGCCCAGACUCCUACGGGAGGCAGCAGUGGGGAAUAUUGCACAAUGGGCGGGAGCCUGAUGCAGCAACGCCGCGUGCGGGAUGACGGCCUUCGGGUUGUAAACCGCUUUCGCCUGUGACGAAGCGUGAGUGACGGUAAUGGGUAAAGAAGCACCGGCUAACUACGUG
rnacentral:rRNA from 1 species